rnacentral:lncRNA from 10 species
UACAUCAUUUCCCAUGGAGGAGCUAUGUGAACAGAGACUGAAUUGAGGGAAAUCACUUUUGGAAUCCCAGCCCUCUCCUCAGGCGCCAGUGGAGCAUGAGCUGUGCUGUGGAUGAAGUCCGUUGGCACAGUGAGUCCCUGGGAUGGAACCUGCACUCGCUGCUUGACCCAUGGCUGGGUGAGUGGUGAAGCGGUCAGCACAAGCUUCUAGCCCAGGCUUCCCUCUUAGCAGCAUGUGGCCUUGGGCAUGUCACAGAGUCUCCCUUCCCUCUCCCCCAUUUUCUCUUCUGUCAACCGAGCAUAACUGACGCUACAAUCUCACUGACAGAUGGUGAGCGAGGAUGGAGUGAGCGGGCAUGUGCGGCUCUUAGCUCCAUGCAUGGCUCACCGACGUUGGCCGCUCUUGUUAUCAUUACAGUGAUGAUUAUUAGCCUUUCUACAUGACAGAUUCUCAAACCUGGCUGCUACCCAUGAGAAUCAUGUGGACAGCCCUUAAACAAAGAUUCCUGGGCUCCCCCUUGAACUUCUGCACCAGAACUGCCAAGAUGGAGUCCGGGAAUGUGUUAGCUACGUGCUUUUAAGACGACUCUGGUGCCCAGCCUGGGAACCCACAAGGGGCAUACUCCUGGCAUGGGCAAUGUCUGUGUUUAGUGGGGCCAAAUACUGCCCCAUUGAAUCAAGAAGUGCACUCUAUACUGGGCUGAAUAGUGUCCCCUCCCAAAAUUCCUGUCCACCUGGAAUCCAUGAAUGUAACCUUAUUUGGAAAUAGGGUUUUUGCAGAUAUAAUCAAGUUAAGAUGAGGUCAUGCUGGAAUAAGAUGGGCCAUAAAUUCAAUGUAACUGGGUGUCCUUAUAAGAAGAGGGGAACUUUGUACACAGAAACAGACAUAGAUGGAAGUUGGUCAUUUGCCUGUGGAGGCAGAGAUUGGAGUGAUGCUGCCACAAGCCAAGAAGCGGCUACAGAAGCUGAAAUAGGCAAGGACGGAUUCUUCUCUAGAGGCUCUGGAAGGGGCAGACUUCUGACUUCCAGAACUGCGAGAGAAUACAUUCCUAUUGUUUGAACCCCUCAAGUUGCGGAUGAUUUGUUACGGCAGCCCUAGGAAAUGUGACAGGCUCCAAGUCACAUUUUGAGAAUCCUACACUGAGGCAGAAACUCUGCUGAUGAGGCCCACUUUGUGAAUAGUUGACAUGCUUCCAGCUUUAUAAACAUCAAUUCAAAUCUUAGAAGAGAAUUUCCCCCUCUGGGCAAAAUGGGCGUUGACGUAUUUUUUUAAAAUGGGAGUUAAAUGCUGAGGGUAUAAGGCACCUCUGGCCCAUAUGGGACUGGCUGAGUCCCAGGUCUUCUGUCUUCCCGGCCAGGCCUGAGCAUGUGCAGGGAGGAGGCCGACGACUGGCUGGGCAGAUGCAAACCUCCAUUUGUGUAUUGCUACCUUUCCAGAGCCUCGGGGAUGCUCGGUGGACACCUCACAGGAGGUGAGAUUGACAGAGCCGGUUCUAGUCUUAGCUGUCUUCUUCCUUCCUGAAGGUUCCUGGACAAGUCACCUGAUCUUGUGGAACCCAAGUUUCUCCACCUCUAAAUGGAACACACUAAAUUGUUAUGAGUGAGCAUCAGAGGAAAUCAAGAGUGUGUGAUUUAGCUCUGCAUGCAACGGGCUCUGUAGAUAAUUUUCAUUGCAGUUAUUUUGACUUCACUUUGGUGAGUCGACUACCCCAGGUUUUGAAAUGAACACAGGGAGGCAGAAUACGUGUUGUAAUCCCAGGCUACAGUUCUGGAGCCUUUAUUGAAGGAGAAGACAUUUUUUAUUUGUAAGAAUGAAAAACGGAAGGCGGGGAGCCUAUGUGGCAUGGAAUUCAAGAAAUGGAGCAACUGGCCACUGGCGAUGGGAAGGCCCAUGGCAGAUUCUGCAAAUCUCUCUGGAGUUUCUGCUUGAGUUCCUGUUCGCCGCUGUGAGCCCCUCACUCUUUCGUUGCUGAGACACCUUCACCAUGGCUCAGGAGGCCACAUGCUAUUCCUCAGGUGGCGGAGGGCAGAGACCGAGGGAGUCGGUAAAAAGGAGAGGGCUGGAAAAUUCCUCUUAGCAUAAGAAUAAACAGUGAUUUGAAUAUUCAGUUGUGAGGGUUAUAAAUAACUGUGAGUUUUCAUUGACGUGUAAGCGGUGAUACAUUUUGUACAAUAAUUAGUUAUUUGAUUACUUUUGUUUUAGCCUGAAGUAGAGGACAAUUGACAAAUGUGAAUACCUCUGAGACUGAUGGGGCGCAGUAAACUAACUUUAUUUAUUACAAAAUGCAAUUUUAUUAAUAUGAAUUGACAGUAAUUAAUUUGCUGGUGUUGAUGUUGUUAAUAAUUGCAUGUAAUUUAUGAAAUAUUCAUGCUAGAGCAGAAUAAAAUAAUGCACGGGU